UACGUAGGGGGCAAGCGUUGUCCGGAAUUAUUGGGCGUAAAGAGCGUGUAGGCGGCUAGAUAGGUCCGUUGUGAAAACUCGAGGCUCAACCUCGAGACGUCGAUGGAAACCAUCUGGCUAGAGUCCGGAAGAGGAGAGUGGAAUUCCUGGUGUAGCGGUGAAAUGCGCAGAUAUCAGGAAGAACACCCGUGGCGAAGGCGGCUCUCUGGUACGUGACUGACGCUGAGACGCGAAAGCGUGGGGAGCGAACAGG
rnacentral:rRNA from 1 species